GGUUGUAAAGCACUUUUAUCAGGAACGAAAUACCACGGGUUAAUACCCUAUGGGGCUGACGGUACCUGAGGAAUAAGCACCGGCUAACUUCGUGCCAGCAGCCGCGGUAAUACGAAGGGUGCAAGCGUUAAUCGGAAUUACUGGGCGUAAAGGGUGCGUAGGCGGUUAGUUAAGUCUGUCGUGAAAUCCCCGGGCUCAACCUGGGAAUGGCGAUGGAUACUGGCUGGCUAGAGUGUGUCAGAGGAUGGUGGAAUUUCCGGUGUAGCGGUGAAAUGCGUAGAGAUCGGAAGGAACAUCAGUGGCGAAGGCGGCCAUCUGGGACAACACUGACGCUGAAGCACGAAAGCGUGGGGAGCAAACAGGAUUAGAUACCCUGGUAGUCCACGCCCUAAACGAUGCGAACUGGAUGUUGGUCUCAACUCGGAGAUCAGUGUCGAAGCUAACGCGUUAAGUUCGCCGCCUGGGGAGUACGGUCGCAAGACUGAAACUCAAAGGAAUUGACGGGGGCCCGCACAAGCGGUGGAGUAUGUGGUUUAAUUCGAUGCAACGCGAAGAACCUUACCUGGCCUUGACAUGUCCGGAAUCCUGCA
rnacentral:rRNA from 1 species